CCUACGGGAGGCAGCAGUCGGGAAUUUUGGGCAAUGGGGGAAACCCUGACCCAGCAACGCCGCGUGAGGGAUGAAGGCCUUCGGGUCGUAAACCUCUGUCGGGAGGGACGAAAGGUGUCCGUUCGAAUAGGGCGGGGGCUUGACGGUACCUCCAAAGGAAGCGCCGGCUAACUCCGUGCCAGCAGCCGCGGUAAUACGGAGGGCGCAAGCGUUGUUCGGAAUCAUUGGGCGUAAAGCGCGUGUAGGCGGCUUGGUAAGUCGGAUGUGAAAGCCCGGGGCUCAACCCCGGAAUUGCAUUCGAAACUACCUCGCUCGAGUCCCGGAGAGGAAGGCGGAAUUCCCGGUGUAGGGGUGAAAUCCGUAGAUAUCGGGAGGAACACCAGUGGCGAAGGCGGCCUUCUGGACGGUGACUGACGCUGAGACGCGAAAGCGUGGGGAGCAAACAGGAUUAGAUACCCUGGUAGUCCACGCCGUAAACGUUGGGUGCUAGGUGUCGCGGGUAUUGACCCCUGCGGUGCCGUCGCUAACGCAUUAAGCACCCCGCCUGGGGAGUACGGUCGCAAGGCUAAAACUCAAAUGAAUUGACGG
rnacentral:rRNA from 1 species